UUUGUGUUAUUUUCUACAAAUGGUGUGUUGUUUGGGAAUUCGGAUCAUCAGACACCACAUGAAUGCAGCAACACACAACAUGUGUUAAACCAUUGACCAAUCACAUCGCUGCUUCAACAUCUCUACUAGCACAGCUGACUGGAGAAAAUCCUUUUGAAAAAAAACGUCUCGUUGAUGUCAACUGCAGGAAAACAGAGCCUGCUACCCUGCCGAACCCUCAGCCAAGACAGACCAAUUUGUGACCUGACCAUAAUGACAGUGGAUUGGGGGCACUCGAAACACUCAUCCAAGGGAGCAGCAGAGUCAAGCAGAGUGAUCAAAAGCCCCAGCCCCCCUGUGUUAAGCAGAGGCGCUUGAGUAAUGUUGGAAGUAGCUGUCAAAAAGGCCUCCGAGAAUUUGCUGGCAGAGACUGUAAUACUUCUUCUGAGUGCCAAGCUUCUUGUUUACCUGAAACAUCUAGUCCAGAAACUUUUCUUGGAUGCUUCUUCAGAUUUUUUGCCAUACUCAUGUUUCCGGACAUAUAGCUGCUGCUUUGUCCCUCUGUAGCCUGAAAACCAGUCGAAUCCUACAAGCUCAUGUUUUAUUUGUUUUGGUAGAUGUACUGCCUUCCAUUCAGACAGGCUUCCACACGAUGUGGUCUCCAUCGGGCCAAUCACAACUGUUUAUCUCAUAUCAGGCUGGAUCAGGAGAGGUUAAACAUCAAUACACAGGGAUGUGCCAGCAUGGGAAUAAAAGGACGGACUUUUGUUUUUCUAUUGUUUAUUUUGUUGUUGUUGAAUCUAGGUUAAUUGUGUUGAUUCCCAUCAUUUGUGAAUAACAUAACCUGACUAAAAGCUUUACCUCUCAUCAACAAACCACUCUGCUGCAGCCUCUCACUGGGUUUAAUCACAGUCCAAUGGGAAACCGAUUAGACCUUAAAAUUCAAUUACCAGGAUAAAUCUCACUUUGUAAUAGGAGGCUCACAGGAUAGACGACCAUGCCUUUAUGUUCUACUGAUUAAACCUUUUUUCAGCUGAA